rnacentral:rRNA from 1 species
CCUACGGGCGGCUGCAGUGGGGAAUAUUGCGCAAUGGGGGAAACCCUGACGCAGCAACGCCGCGUGGAGGAAGAAGGUUUUCGGAUUGUAAACUCCUGUCUUCUGGGACGAUAAUGACGGUACCAGAGGAGGAAGCCACGGCUAACUACGUGCCAGCAGCCGCGGUAAUACGUAGGUGGCGAGCGUUGUCCGGAAUUACUGGGCGUAAAGGGCGCGUAGGCGGCUCUUUAAGUCAGAUGUGAAAACCCGAGGCUUAACUUCGGGAGUGCAUUUGAAACUGGGGAGCUUGAGUGCAGGAGAGGUAAGUGGAAUUCCUAGUGUAGCGGUGAAAUGCGUAGAUAUUAGGAGGAACACCAGUGGCGAAGGCGACUUACUGGACUGUAACUGACGCUGAGGCGCGAAAGCGUGGGGAGCAAACAGGAUUAGAUACCCUGGUAGUC